CAACCUGAGCUCAGUCGUGAUUACCCGCCGAACUUAAGCGUAUCAUUCAGCGGAGGAAAAGAAACUAACUAGGAUUCCCCAAGUAAUGGCGAAUGAAAGGGGAAGAGCCCAGCGCUGAAUCUCUCGGUCUUAGGCCGCUGAGAACUGUAGCGUAUAGGUGUGACUGUCUGCUAUAUUGCAUUUCCGAAGUCUCUUUGAUAGGGGCCAACAUCCAGAAAGGGUGCGAGACCUGUACGGAAAGUAGUAUAGUUGGUAUGGUUACUCCUUGGAGUCGGGUUGCUUGAAAGUGCAGCCUAAAGUUGGUGAUAAACUUCAUCUAAGGCUAAAUAUCGACGCGAAAUCGAUAGCAAACAAGUACCGUGAGGGAAAGUUGCAAAGAACUUUGAAGAGAGAGUUCAAGAGAACGUGAAAUCGCUGAAGUGGAACCGGAGAGAGUUAACAUAACUUGGUAGCUAUAUCCUCUAAAGUCGCUUAACUGUGGCUCUGGGGGGUGGACGCUACCUGUUGUUGCACUGACUGCGUUGAUUGUGCUUUCCGAACAGUAUAGUGUUGCCCACUUUGUGGUGUCUUGCUUUCUGGGAGGUUUGUCAUAAUUAACGUAAAGCCAAUUCCCUUUGGAGUCAGUGUGAAAGUUAACCACCUUUCCGACCCGUCUUGAAACACGGACCGAGGAGUGUAAUUUAUACGCGAGUCAAGGGGUGGUGAAAACCCUAGGGGCGGAAUGAAAGUAAAGGCCGGUUAACCGGUUGACAUGGGAUCCGCUCUUCGGAGCGGCGCACCAUGGCCCUGUCUUGUCUGCUUGCAGAUGGGCAGCGGUAGAGCGUAUAGUUUGCGACCCGAAAGAUGGUGAACUAUGCUUGAGCAGGACGAAGCCAGAGGAAACUCUGGUGGAAGUCCGUAUCGGUUCUGACGUGCAAAUCGAUCGAUAGACUUGGGUAUAGGGGCGAAAGACUAAUCGAACCGUCUAGUAGCUGGUUCCCUCCGAAGUUUCCCCCAGGAUAGCUGGAGUAGUGGUGCGUGGUUAUAUCCGGUAAAGCGAAUGAUUAGAGGACUUGGGGGCGAAACGAUCUCAACCUAUUCUCAAACUUUCAAUGGGUAUGAUGUCUCGGUUUCUUUAUUGAACUGUUGACAUGAACGUGUGCUCCAAGUGGGCCAUUUUUGGUAAGCAGAACUGGCGCUGUGGGAUGAACCAAACGCUGGGUUAAGGUGCCUAACUUUUCUCUCAUGAGACCCCAUAAAAGGCGUUGGUUGAUAUAGACAGCAGGACGGUGGCCAUGGAAGUCGGUACCCGCUAAGGAGUGUGUAACAACUCACCUGCCGAAUCAACUAGCCCUGAAAAUGGAUGGCGCUUGAGCGAAAGACCUAUACCCGGCCGUUACUGGCUUGUGCGAUGGCUAACGCCUGGCCGUAACGAGUAGGAGGGUCGUGGUGGUUGCGUUGAAGGCUUAGGGCGUAGGCCCGGCUGGAGCUUCCAUCAGUGCAGAUCUCGGUGGUAGUAGCAAAUAUUUAAGUUCGAUCCUUGAAGACUGAAGUGGGGAAGGGUUCCACGUGAACAGUAGUUGAAUGUGGGUCAGUCGAUCCUAAGAUACUGGCUUAUGCCUUGUAUCAUCGAGAGAGAGAAGUUUCUUCUCUCUCGGAUAUCGAAAGGGAAUAGAGUUAAUAUUCUCUAACGCAGACAUAGAGAUUGUGGCUCUUUGAGUUGCUUGCGCGGUAACGCAUUCGAACUCGGUAACGUCGCUUAGAGACCGAGCUAGAGUUUUCUUCUCUAGUUAAGGAACGGACUCCCUGGAAUCGGUUCAUCCGGAGAUAGGGACGUUGUUUCCGUAAAGCACCGCGGUUUCUGUGGUGUCUCGUGCUCUCUGAACGGCCCUUGAAAAACCGAGGGAGGCUAUUAAUCUAUGCUGCAUCGUACCGAUAUCCGCAUCAGGUCCUCAAGGUGAACAGCCUCUAGUCGAUAGAAUAAUGUAGGUAAGGGAAGUCGGCAAAUUAGAUCCGUAACUUCGGGAAAAGGAUUGGCUCCAGUGAUCGGGUCGGUUGGCCUGUUCACUGAUACUUGUAUGGUUUCGUUCGUGGCUGGCUGAUGCUAACGCUGAUGUCGGACUAGUGAUGAGACAGUCUUGUGGACGUUUAUAGGUGUGUGCUUUGCUUUCGAGCUUAGUAUCCUGACCGGCCAUUAAAACGGUCGAACUGGAACUGGUACGGACUCGGGGAAUCCGACUGUCUAAUUAAAACAGAGGAGACAGAUGGUCCUUGCGGACGUUUACUGUCUA
rfam:Heterorhabditis bacteriophora unplaced genomic scaffold Scaffold300, whole genome shotgun sequence.